AUUGAACGCUGGCGGCAUGCUUUACACAUGCAAGUCGAACGGUAACAGGGAGCUUGCUCCGCUGACGAGUGGCGAACGGGUGAGUAAUAUAUCGGAACGUACCCAAGAGUGGGGGAUAACGUAGCGAAAGUUACGCUAAUACCGCAUACGAUCUAAGGAUGAAAGCAGGGGAUCUUCGGACCUUGUGCUCCUGGAGCGGCCGAUAUCUGAUUAGCUAGUUGGUGAGGUAAAGGCUCACCAAGGCGACGAUCAGUAGCUGGUCUGAGAGGACGACCAGCCACACUGGAACUGAGACACGGUCCAGACGCCUACGGGAGGCAGCAGUGGGGAAUUUUGGACAAUGGGCGCAAGCCUGAUUCAGCAAUGCCGCGUGAGUGAAGAAGGCCUUCGGGUUGUAAAGCUCUUUUGUCAGGGAAGAAACGGGAGUGGCUAAUAUCCAUUCCUAAUGACGGUACCUGAAGAAUAAGCACCGGCUAACUACGUGCCAGCCGCCGCCGUAAAAC
rnacentral:rRNA from 1 species